GGGGAUGUAGCUCGGUGGUAGAGCACCUGCUUAACAUGCACAAAGUGCUGGAUUCCAUCCCCA
rfam:Ictidomys tridecemlineatus contig062331, whole genome shotgun sequence.